CGUGUCUCCAUCAGUUGCAACACGUUACCCGGCCCUCUCUGCCUAUCUCUGCAUAACAGGAAGCCACGUGUAAUAACAAGAAGCUUGCGGAAUCAUGAAUGUUUCCUACUGAACACUGCCCCAGAGCUGCCUCUUCCUCAGCACAAGGCAAAGUGGAGAUUUGGCAAUCAGAGGACAGAUUUCUCUGGGGUGACACUGUAGCUGCUUAACUGCAUAUGCAAGCUACCUGCUUUCCCAGGCAUGAGUGUAAAGGAAGAACAAUUCUCAUCAGAUUGAUCACUGUUAGUGUAUGGAAGCGCAACUGAUUUUUGAGCUUUGACUUUGUAUCCUGCUACUUUGCUGGGUUUGUUAGCUCUAACAGUUUUUUGGUCGAAUCCUUAGGAUUUUCUGCAUAUAAGAUUAUAUUAUCUCUAAACAGAGAUAAUGCAAGUUCUGAAUGAAAAAAAUAAAGUGAUGUUUACUAUUCUAUAGUGACUUGUUGAGGCUCCACGAAUGAUGUGGCCAGUCCUGCUUGGGACACUUCAUUGUUAAGAGAUCUGGUAGAGAAGAAGACUUCAUGAAAGCAGACUCAGAAAGAAUAACUAAUGAGGCUGGAGUACAGUGGCCCAAUCUCAGCUCACCACAACCUCUGCCUCCCAGGUUCAAGCA